GAUUAACGCUGGCGGCGUGCAUAACACAUUCAAGUCGAACGGAACAAGGUGCUUCGGUACCUUGUUUAGUGGCGGACGGGUGAGUAACGCGUGAGCAAUCUACCUCCAGGUGAGGGAUAACAACCGGAAACAGUUGCUAAUACCUCAUAAGAUAGUAGUGUCGCAUGGCACAGCUAUCAAAGGCUUGCUGCCUGGAGAUGAGCUUGCGUCCGAUUAGAUAGUUGGCGGGGUAAAGGCCCACCAAGUCGACGAUCGGUAGCCGGACUGAGAGGUUGGACGGCCACAUUGGAACUGAGAUACGGUCCAG
rnacentral:rRNA from 1 species